rnacentral:rRNA from 1 species
UGCGUAGGUGGGUCUGUAAGUCCGUGGUGAAAUCUCCGAGCUUAACUUGGAAACUGCCAUGGAUACUAUAGGUCUUGAAUACUGUGGAGGUCAGCGGAAUAUGUCAUGUAGCGGUGAAAUGCUUAGAUAUGACAUAGAACACCAAUUGCGAAGGCAGCUGGCUACACAAAUAUUGACACUGAGGCACGAAAGCGUGGGGAUCAAACAGGAUUAGAUACCCUGGUAGUCCACGCCCUAAACGAUGGAUACUCGACAUUUGCGAUACACAGCAAGUGUCUGAGCGAAAGCAUUAAGUAUCCCACCUGGGAAGUACGAUCGCAAGAUUGAA